CCUACGGGGGGCUGCAGUGAGGAAUAUUGGUCAAUGGGCGGAAGCCUGAACCAGCCAAGUCGCGUGAGGGAAUAAGGCCCUACGGGUCGUAAACCUCUUUUGCCGGGGAGCAAGGGCGGGGACGUGUCCCGGCCCGGAGAGUACCCGGAGAAAAAGCAUCGGCUAACUCCGUGCAAGCGGCCGCGGUAAAGAGGAGGAUGCGAGCGUUAUCCGGAUUGAUUGGGGGAAAAGGGUGCGUAAGCGGCCUGCUAAGUCUGGGGUGAAAGGUACCGGCCAAACCGGUACAGGCUCUGGAAACUGGCGGGCUAGAGAGCAGGAGAGGGCAGUGGAACUCCAUGUGUAGCGGUAAAAUGCGUAGAUAUAUGGAAGAACACCAGUGGCGAAGGCGGCCGCCUGGCCUGUUACUGACGCUGAGGCACGAAAGCGUGGGGAGCAAAUAGGAUUAGAUACCCCUGUAGUC
rnacentral:rRNA from 1 species